rnacentral:rRNA from 1 species
AACGAACGCUGGCGGCAUGCCUAACACAUGCAAGUCGAACGAGACCUUCGGGUCUAGUGGCGCACGGGUGCGUAACGCGUGGGAACCUGCCCUUAGGUUCGGAAUAACUCCCCGAAAGGGGUGCUAAUACCGGAUAAUGUCUUCGGACCAAAGAUUUAUCGCCUUUGGAUGGGCCCGCGUUGGAUUAGCUAGUUGGUAGGGUAAAAGCCUACCAAGGCGACGAUCCAUAGCUGGUCUGAGAGGAUGAUCAGCCACACUGGGACUGAGACACGGCCCAGACUCCUACGGGAGGCAGCAGUGGGGAAUAUUGGACAAUGGGCGAAAGCAUGAUCCAGCAAUGCCGCGUGAGUGAUGAAGGCCGUAGGGUUGUAAAGCUCUUUUAACCGGGAUGAUAAUGACAGUACCGGGAGAAUAAGCUCCGGCUAACUCCGUG